UCAAUUUAUUAGCAAUCCUGGUCGAAUAUGAGUACCAGUGGGUUGCUCAAAUGAUUUGCAGAAAUGGUAGGGUCACAAGUUUUUCAAGAAGACCCAUUGGUGGAGUAGACUGCCAACUUUGUACACCACGUCAUGUCUAUUUGUGGUGAUCGUGUUGUUAUUUUAUGUUCAGGUGAGAAGUAUGGGUGCUCUAAAGAAUAACUAUAAACUUUUGUUAGAUUUGUUAAUUUUUGGUUUGCUGGAAAUAUUCUCCCACCAUCUCUAAUUGAUAAAAAUCCUUAUUAUUGUUCCACCAUUUCUAAUUGUUAAACUCCUUUGUUGGAAGCCCACAAACUCUGCACUUUUGUCGGUUAAACACCAUUUGACAAGCAAAAGAGGUACAACUAUAACAGCCAACUAAGAAUUGAGAAGAGAAUGUGAAUCCAUAGGCUCGGAGAGGGGUGGGGGUUUUCGGACUUUACUAUGGCAGGUUGUCUUAAUGCCAGUAGCCAAUCUAUCCAUUACAGUAUGAGCAAGAUUAAGGUCCUUAGGUCCUGUGGAAGUACCUCUUCCAUCAAUCAACAGAGGGAAGAUUGAUGACUCUGAACGGCUUCGCUCCAUGAAGUUAAAUCAGCAAGGAAAAUCGAGGCUCUAUAUGUUGGAAGUAAUUUGGUAUCUAGCAACAACUUUCUGUUUUCCUAUUUCUUUCUUUUUCAUGGUUGACAACUUGAAAUUAUCCUCGCAAAGCUUAACUUCGCCAUACAAAUUAUAUGCUUCUAAAUUCGUCUACUUCUUCAUUUUACCAUAAGAAUUCCUAUUAAAUCAUAUUUAUUUGAUAUGUGGACCUAUUCAAGGGAUUAUAAUUUGUAGAUUUGGUUUCUGACCGUCGUAGCAUGGAGCUGACAUCAAGCUCUAACGAUAAUUAUAACAAUGAGGUAGUAAACUAAAUUUAUGAUGGGUGGGCGGCAUGUCCACAUCUGUAUGGUACGGGUUAAGCUCUUACACACAUGUUUCUUAAUUAGGUAACAGUCGGGUGCGUCUCCAGUCCACAAAAACAUUGUGAUCUUGAAAAGUAGGGUUCCAACUUCUUUUUCUUAACAAUUGACUUACCUGAAGAGUAAAAUUUCUUCUGGCAUGGCCUAUGGUCAGCGUAUCUGUUUGUAAAUGUUGUACAAAACCCUCUUAGAUAACUUGGAUGAUUGUGUAAACAAAAGAUCACCGAGUAUUUCAGAAUUUGAUUUACUAAAAACACCACGUUUCGAACAAAAGAUCACUGAAAAUUUGAGAAAUUGAUUUACUGAAAAAUACUACCAUUUAUGAAGAUUUUUUAGUUAACUAUUAAUGACCUUCUUACCAACUUUAGAUAUUAACUCUUACAGUAAUGAUCAUAAAGAGCUUUUCUAAUUGCUUGAUUUGGCUUAUGUCUGCUCAAUUUUAAAUUUGGAUGUUUGACUUUAGCUGAUGGGUUCUGUUCAACAGAUUUUGGAAACUUGGUCAUAUACAUGGUAUACACAUCAUCAUCAGUUUUUUUGUUCUUUGAUAGGAAGAUGUUAAUGUUCAACGGCGAAGAGGUAUGUUUAUGGAGUUACUUGCAGGACUAAUUCUACUUGAUGCAUGAGUGUUUCCCAUGAAAAGGUUGGUGUUGCAGUCAAUAGUACAUUUAUUUAGUUGUAACUCCAAGUGCGAGGAUGUUUAUCAGGGCAGAUAGUAGAAACAAUUUCUUCAAUUCCAAGUUGAGACAUAAAAGUGGUUUCUGAAGUGAACCACGGUGGUCUUAUAUCCCAAAAGGAAUGGAAAAGUGGGAAGUGAACACAACAGUAGCUGCACUUGCUUGAUUUUUAAACGGCGCAAAGGCAAAAGGUGCAUCUUUUGAUUCUAUUUCAAAUGCCACUACUUCAUGAAGAACAUGAUGGGUUUAUGGCUCAACUUCACUUUUUGAUAAAGUCUUUUAUAUUAUCUUAAAUGUAUCUUUACUUGUGUGAUAUGGCCAGAAUUAAUUCUAAACAGAAAUCUUAUGACAACACAAGGAAGGUGGUCUAGAUUCAGUGAAAUUCAUAUGGGGAAACUACAGAGUUGAGAUUCGUUUUUGUUUGUUGUCAUAUUGAAGUUGUCUUGAUUGUUGUGGAUUGCUUGCAUAUCAGUUUGGUAUUUCAUUUGCAUUACGAUUCUCACA